rnacentral:lncRNA from 13 species
GCCAAAUGUUUGAGUGGGACAUCUUGACGUGAAUAUUCCUGGAGAGUGGAAGAAAGCACAGCUCAGGGCAGGUGCUUCUGUCCCAGAGUGAGACCUGGAAACAGCUGUGGUGUGCUGGAAGGGAUUCUCCAACCUAGAGUCUGAAGAUGUUUAAAGGCUGCUUUUGCCACUCACAAGCUACUUGAUCAGGCGGAUUGCUUCCCCUCAGUUCCUUUAGGAGACAGUGUGCUGUGGAGUACCAGCAUUCUCACUCUGCGGUCUCUCUCUGGGGGAGGAUUAUGCAUUCUUGUCGUGUGGUACUAGGUGUGGCCAUGUGAUUUCUGGCACCCCUCCCUCCUCCUGGGGAAGGAAACGUAUAUCCCUGCCCUAUUGACGUCACGCUUGGCUAUGAGAUUUGCUUUGGCUGGCAAAAGUGAGUACAAGGAAUUGUGCCACUAUUGUAUAGAUGCUUUAAGAGACAUUGCUGGUUUUGCUGUCUCCAUCUCUCUCUGUUAUUGAGUCUCUGAAUAAAGAAGGCAUAGACAAGGGCUGUAGCUGAGGCAUAAGCGAGAAACAAACCUUCAUGGAGGCAAACGCUGAGAUUUUGGGGGUUGUAUGUUGUAACAGCAUUACUUAGGUUAAACAGAUUAAUGCGAUAGGGAAUAAUGUGAUCUACCUGGUGGGCUUUUUAUGAGAACUAUUUGAGAGAAUUAACCGAAAAAUGUAUUGUGCACCUAUAAGGUCCCAGGUACUGUGUGCUAGGUAUAAGGGCCACAGAAUUGUACAGGGCAUGGGCCAUGUCCUUCAAAGAGCUCAUAGUAGAAGAGACAGAGGUUUCUGGAAGUUAUGUUAGUAACAAUGUGUAGUAGAUCUAUGCUUUUGGCAAGGGGUUCAGCCUGGGCCAUCACACAUUCUCAAAUUCAGGAAAACUUCUUGACAUUUGACAUCUCCCAGAAAAUGCGGAAAGAACAAAAGGAGAGAAGGAAAGAAAGAAAAAAGGGAGUAAAGGAGAGGAAGAAAGGAAGAAAAAGAGAGAGAAUGGGAAUGCUGCUUUAUUCUAAAAAUGGGUAUUGAAAAUGUCUUUUAUGCCAAUAAUUGUGCUUAAUAAUGGCUAAUCAAUAUUUCAUUUAAACCUAUGAGUAGGUGUGAUGUGGUAUUGACAAGAAUGUAUAUUUUAUGUAUUUAAAGUGGAGAGCUCUAUAAAUGUUUAUUAAGUUUACUUGUUCUGGAUCUGAGUUCAAGUCCUGGAUAUCCUCAUUAAUUUUCUGUCUCAUUGGUCUAUCUAAUAUUGAUGUUGAAGUCUCCCACUAUUAUUGUGUGGGAGUCUAGGGAGUC